UACUAAGGAUCAUGGCUGGCUGNUUUCCC
rnacentral:piRNA from 1 species